CCAUGGCCUGUGGGCAGUGCUGUGGGCACUAGGCACUGGGCAGUGGGCACUCGGCAGGGAUCAGUGGUGUGGCUGGGGGGUCAGUGGUGUGGCUGGGUGGUUACUGGUCCCUGGUGUGUCUGGGUGGUCACUGGUCACUGCUCUGGCUCUUGCAGGUCUCCCUCAGCCCCAGCACCCAGCACAGCCCUGAGCAGAGGUCCUUCCGUGAGAGGCAGAAGUAUUUCGAGGUGGAGGUGAAGCAGCAGCACCUGGACAAACCUCCCAAGCGCGUGUCCCUGGUGGGGGUGGUGUGGCUGGGUGGUCAGUGCUGUGUCUGGGUGGUCAGUGGUCACUGGUCACUGCUCUGUCCCCUGCAGGUUGCCCUCAGCCCUGGCACUCAGCACAGCCCUGAACAGUUUGCAGUGGUCACUGGUCCCUGGUGUGUCUGGGUGGUCACUGCUCUGGCUCUUGCAGGUCUCCCUCAGCCCCAGCACCCAGCACAGCCCUGAGCAGAGGUCCUUCCGUGAGAGGCAGAAGUAUUUCGAGGUGGAGGUGAAGCAGCAGCACCUGGACAAACCUCCCAAGCGCGUGUCCCUGGUGGGGGAGGAUGACCUGAAGAAGAUGAAGGAGGAGGAAGGCUGGUCAGUGGUGUGGCUGGGUGGUCAGUGGUCACUGCUCUGUCCCCUGCAGGUCGCCCUCAGCCCCAGCACCCAGCACAGCCCUGAGCAGAGGUCCUUCCGUGAGAGGCAGAAGUAUUUCGAGGUGGAGGUGAAGCAGCAGCACCUGGACAAACCUCCCAAGCGCGUGUCCCUGGUGGGGGAGGAUGACCUGAAGAAGAUGAAGGAGGAGGAAGCCCGAAAGCUGCAGCAGCAGCGAGCCCUGCUGCUGGAGGAGGAGGCUGAGGAGGAGGAGGAGGAGGUGAGGAAGGUGCCCGAGGCUCUGCAGUCCAGCAUCAUCAUCGAGGGCGUGGAGUACAAGGUGGAGAGGCUGAAUGGAAGGAGCAGCCAGGCUGCAGCAGCUCGGUCCCUGGAGCUCAGUGAGAACAGCAGCUCGCAGAGGAAUUCCCUGGAGGACGGGAUCAAGUCUGAGCACAGAACCAACUCCAUGUCAGGGCUCGACCCCGGCCCGGCCCCGGUGCGCACGGCCAAGGCUGAGCGGCGGCAGCAGGAGCGGCUGCGCGUGCAGAGCCCCGAGCUGCUGCCCCAGGACAGGGACAGGGACAAGGAGCUGUCCCCAGCCGAGCGCCGGGCCCUGGAGGCGGAGAAACGAGCCAUGUGGAGGGCAGCACGAUCCUCAGCUCUUGAAGACAGUGUUAAACAGUACGAGCAGGAUCUGGCCAGGAAGCUGUACCAGUCCCGGCAGCGGGCUCCUGCUCCCGGGGCCAGGGCUAGUCCGGUGCAGAGCCACGCCUCCAGAGUGCCAGCAGGGUCAGGAGGCCAAUCCAGGAUGAAGUCACUGGAGCAGGACGCUCUCAAGGCCCAGAUGGUCAUUGCCAAGUCCAAGGAGGGGAAGAAGCGCAGCACGCUGGAGCAGCUGGCAGAGUCACCCUCACCUGCGCCCACGCCGUCCCCAACACCGCUGGAAGAUUGCAGCCCCAGGAACGUCACUUCCCCAGGAAGGCUGUCACUGUCUGAAAAGAAGUUUGACUACCGGGAAUUUGCUGCUAUUCCUUCCUCCAAACCUGUUUACGAAAUCCAGUCCCCUGAUGCAGCUGAUGACCUCAGAUUCGUGGCUGACAGGAGCAGCUCAGCUCCCUGGGAGCAGGACGGGCAACCCGAGCAGGAGCAGGAGGAGGCCCUGGGAGGCCGGGACUCAACAGCAGCAGCAGCAGCAGCUCCCCCAGCCCUGGAGGACGUGGCCCUGUUCAGCAGCAAGCGCAAGCUCCGGCACGGCCGGCGCAGCCUGGAGACCGCUGUCCCCACAUAGGUGACACCUGGCACGGCGCCGGCCUGGCACAGCCCUGCUGUGCUCGGGGACAUCCCCAGGCUGCCCCUGCCUGAAGACUGCAUGGGUCUGGGCUGCCCCUGGCCCUGUGGCCAAGUGACUCCUCCGAGGCUGUGAACCGCCCUCGUGUCUCACCCGACAGUGCACUGGGGCACAUCCCAAUACUGGGACAACACUGGACUGAUGCUGGCAGAUGGAGAGGAAGGGUGGCCAGGACAGUGGGCAGCUUGUUAGCCUGUAAAUAUUGUGUGUGGGGAGGGUAGGACAGGGAGAAUGUAGGAGUGUGAGAGUGUGUUGGGCUCCAGCUGUUACUGCCUCAGCUUGGGUUUUUUAGUGGUUAAAAGGAGCUUCUCCUCUGGUGGGAUCAGGAGGAAGGCCCAGCCUGCCUUUACUCCUAUUUAAUUUCCAGUCUUUUGCCGAAAAGCAUCUUCUCCCACCUCCUGCACUGUGUCACCUCACUUCCCUUUGGGAGUGUUUGGGAAUGGGAAGCUUGGAGGCAAAAAGAAGGAAAAGAAAAAAAAAACCCUCCAGAAUUUCAGCCAAGUGCCUCCCUCUGCCACUGGCACUCUGUGCUCCAGGAACCCAGAGGCAGCUCUGCCUGCUGUCCUGGGGAGAGGUCCCUCCCCCUGGUCACACGGUGUGAGCACUCCACGAGCACACAGAGGGGGAGUCUGUCCCCUGCAGCACCGGGGCAGCAAUGGGAUGGAGCCCAGAGCCGCAGCAGGGGUGUGGGGGGUGUGGCAGCAGUGGGGAGCAGGACACUGGCAGAGGUGGGAGGUGUGACAGCAGGUACCUUAGUGGGUAGAGUUCAGGAUUGGGGGUGGGUGGAAUGUGGCGUUGCUGGGGUCAGGUUGGGAGUUCCAGGAUCAGCGGGAGACACUGCUGGGGAGUGCUCAGUGGUAGGUGGAGAGGGAAGCACGGGUGCUGCUGUGGGCUGGCAGCACCAGGAGCACCAGAGCACCAGGAGCAGGAUGGGGCUGGCCUGUGCCUUGCAAUAACUACACAGUUCCACUUUGCCAGCUCGUUGGCUUUGGGCCCCUUUCCACGGAGGACACGGAAAAUGCACGUUUGCCCAUGCAAGAGGGAAAAGGGAAAAUGAGAAGUGAGUGGGGUAUGAGUCCUGGUUUCCACACGUGGAACAAGGGCUGUGAGCAGGUUCUGUAUCGUGUGAGCUCUGCAGAUGUGGACCUCACAGCUGCUGCUCCCAGCUCUGCCAUCAGCCUCUGCUGCCACCAGUGAGGGGAAACAACCCUUUUGGUUUUUUUUCACUGCCUCUAACCGUGAGGAAGGUCCGAGCUCGGCACAAUCCCGUUCCCUGUCCAUUGGUGCUCUCUGACUCCCCAGUAAGACCAGGGUUGGACCUUGAGCCUCACAGUGGCUGGGCAGUGACAGGCACAUCUGCUUGUACAUUUGCUGAAGGAAAGAGCUGGAUGCAGAUUUUUGGGUGCAGUUCUUUAGCUGAGCCUCUCCUUUCAUGCCAAAAUCCAGCGGAUCAUUUUAACUGACUCUGUAUGUUUUGAUUUUACAGACUUGUGAAGGGGGAACUCAAUCUCACAGCAGCAGCUGCAGCUGCUUCCAUCAUCAGCAAUUUGAGCUUUUCCUUUUUAAAUCUAAUUUUAGCAUUUGCUUUUUAACAACAGCAGUUUUGGAAACAAUCCUGGCUGGGUUUUGGUGACUAACUUGUGAUUCUUCUCUCCUUUCCCUGUGCGGUACCUGGUGCCAGGCUCUGGAUUCUCUCUUGUUCUCUCCCAAGAGACUCCGAGGGAAAAUUAGCGCAUCAAGACUGUAACUAGUGAAAUUUGUACAACCAAAGAAAUCUAUUUUGUGGUUCAAGGAUAAUAAAGUUUACUUUACAUUUUAGAGCCUUUAGUCACAGUGUUUUUCCCUGUGUGAAGUCUGCAAUUCCAGUAUCAGCACUUGGGUGAUGGUUGUUACUCACUGCAUAAUCCAGCAGAUAUGCUCCUGCUUCUGAGAGCAGGGAUUAAUGCACGCCCAAAUUACUGCCAGCUCUGAGAAUAUCAGCAUUCAGGGAUGGGAAAAAAAAACAAUAUGAAACACAGUGAUCUUCAGUGUCUUGGCUUUCCUUACUUGGCUGUGUUUAAAAACAACUCCAAAAA
rnacentral:lncRNA from 12 species